rnacentral:rRNA from 1 species
UAAGGAAUAUUGGACAAUGGUCGAAAGACUGAUCCAGCCAUGCCGCGUGCAGGAUGAAGGCCCUAUGGGUUGUAAACUGCUUUUAUUUGGGAAAAAACCUCUGUACGUGUACGGAGCUGAUGGUACCAAAUGAAUAAGCAUCGGCUAACUUCGUGCCAGCAGCCGCGGUAAUACGAAGGAUGCAAGCGUUAUCCGGAUUUAUUGGGUUUAAAGGGUGCGUAGGCGGGUUGAUAAGUCAGUGGUGAAAGCCUGUAGCUCAACUACAGAACUGCCAUUGAUACUGUCGAUCUUGAGUAUCGUUGAAGUGGGCGGAAUGUGUGGUGUAGCGGUGAAAUGCUUAGAUAUCACACAGAACACCGAUUGCGAAGGCAGCUCACUAAGCGAUAACUGACGCUGAGGC